rnacentral:rRNA from 1 species
AUUGAACGCUGGCGGCAGGCCUAACACAUGCAAGUCGAACGGUAACAGGAAGAAGCUUGCUUCUUUGCUUACGAGUGGCGGACGGGUGUGUAAUGUCUGUGAAACUGCCUUAUGGAUGGGGAUAACUACUGGAAACGGUAGCUAAUACCGCAUAACUUCUCAAGACCAAAGAUGGGUAGCGUCAGGCCUCUUUCCAUCGGAUUUUCCCAGAUUGCAUUAGCUAGUAGGUAGGGUAACGGCUCACCUAGGCGACGAUCCCUAGCUGGUCUGAGAGGGUGACCAGCCACACUGGAACUGAGACACGGUCCAGACUCCUACGGGAGGCAGCAGUAGGGAAUAUUGCACAAUGGGCGAAAGCCUGAUGGAGCAAUGCCGCGUGUAUGAAGAAGGCCUUCGGGUUGUAAAGUACUUUCAGCGGGGAGGAAGAAAGUAAUGUUAAUACAUUUGCUCAUUGACGUUACCCGAAGAAGAAGCCACGGCUAACUCCGUG